CAAUGCCCUGCUAGAAAGGAAUUGCUCCUCCUAUAUUUGAAACAGGUGUCAUAUGAACAGCACUAUAUAAGUCUAGUAUACACAUUGAAUUUCAAAUUUCGGAAAAUUCGCCUACCAAUAAGAUGAAGUGUUUACUUGCUGUUACAUUGGUUAGUCUGGCAGUUGCCUGCGCCAACGGGCUGAACCCACAGUGUCUCUCGCCACCAAAGGAGCACCUAAUCUGCAGGGAUGGUCUGAAGACUCUGAAAUGGACGUACGUCCUUCGUGACCGGAAAUGUUCCCCAAAAUGGGGCUGCUACGUCAGCGGGGCAAAAAAUGUGUUCGCAACGGAGGCCGGAUGUCGUAUUAGCUGUAAAUGAUAAAUGUAACGGAUGAUU